rnacentral:rRNA from 1 species
UACAGAGGGGGCAAGCGUUGUCCGGAAUUACUGGGCGUAAAGGGCGCGUAGGCGGCCUUCUAAGUCGAACGUGAAAUCCCCGGGCUCAACCCGGGAACUGCGUCCGAUACUGGAAGGCUUGAAUCCGGGAGAGGGAUGCGGAAUUCCAGGUGUAGCGGUGAAAUGCGUAGAUAUCUGGAGGAACACCGGUGGCGAAGGCGGCAUCCUGGGCCGGCAUUGACGCUGAGGCGCGAAAGCCAGGGGAGCAAACGGG